rnacentral:rRNA from 1 species
CCUACGGGAGGCAGCAGUGAGGAAUAUUGGUCAAUGGACGAGAGUCUGAACCAGCCAAGUAGCGUGAAGGAUGACUGCCCUAUGGGUUGUAAACUUCUUUUAUAUGGGAAUAAAACGUUCCACGUGUGGGAUUUUGUAUGUACCAUAUGAAUAAGGAUCGUCUAACUCCGUGCCAGCAGCCGCGGUAAUACGGAGGAUCCGAGCGUUAUCCGGAUUUAUUGGGUUUAAAGGGAGCGUAGGUGGCUUGUUAAGUCAGUUGUGAAAGUUUGCGGCUCAACCGUAAAAUUGCAGUUGAAACUGGCAGUCUUGAGUACAGUAGAGGUGGGCGGAAUUCGUGGUGUAGCGGUGAAAUGCUUAGAUAUCACGAAGAACUCCGAUUGCGAAGGCAGUUCACUGGACUGCAACUGACACUGAGGCUCGAAAGUGUGGGUAUCAAACAGGAUUAGAUACCCCAGUAGUC